UUAGGACAUGAAGAUGCAAGCCAUGAAGUCUCUGGGCCAUUUUAGUAUGAAUUGGACUGACGAAUUUCUGCAAUGGAACUCUUCAGACUACAAUGGCGUAGAAUACAUAUAUAGCCCCGAAAAUAGAAUAUGGAAGCCAGACCUUGUCAUCGGCAAUGACAUUACAUCCAAAAGAUGGGUGAUGGCAGCAGUUUAGUGAUCAUUGAGUCCAGUGGUCAUGUUUUAUGGGAACCUGGGUUCAUCGUUACAAGUAUAUGCGCUGUUGACAUAACAUACUUCCCUUUGAUACACAGAAGUGCUCUGUGCAUAUUACUUCGUGGAUGACAUCGAACGUUAGCCUACAAAUCUACUCAACGAAAGGCAUUUCUUUGGAUGCAUACAUAGAACAUGGGGAGUUUGAGAUAACAGACUCUCGGGUU